rnacentral:rRNA from 2 species
UGGGGAAUAUUGCACAAUGGAGGGAACUCUGAUGCAGCGACGCCGCGUGAACGAAGAAGGCUUUCGAGUCGUAAAGUUCUUUUAUAUGGGAAGAUAAUGACGGUACCAUAAGAAAAAGCCCCGGCUAACUACGUGCCAGCAGCCGCGGUAAUACGUAGGGGGCUAGCGUUGUCCGGAAUCACUGGGCGUAAAGGGUUCGCAGGCGGAAAUGCAAGUCAGGUGUAAAAGGCAGUAGCUUAACUACUGUAAGCAUUUGAAACUGCAUAUCUUGAGAAGAGUAGAGGUACGUGGAAUUUUUAGUGUAGCGGUGAAAUGCGUAGAUAUUAAAAAGAAUACCGGUGGCGAAGGCGACUUACUGGGCUCAUUCUGACGCUGAGGAACGAAAGCGUGGGUAGCAAACAGG